AUUGCACUGUUUAAUAUGAACGUUAUACUUUUUGAGAUAAAAAUUACACUUUUUGAAAUAAAAAUUGCACCAUUUCGAUAAAAAUUACACCGUUUUAGAGAAAAUUGCACUGUUCUCCGACCCUCAUUGCCUCAUCUUCUUCUUCUUCCUCUUUCCUUGAUCCCCUCCUCCCCCUCCCACUCUGAGCCCUAUCGUUACCAACGCGACCCUCUCUACCCCGUGCAUCGCAUUAGAGUGUUGAAACACGAAAACAACCUACCUUCCUUUUUUUUUUCCUUCGUUUUUUUUUCUCACCAACCCUCAUCGCCUCCUCCACCGCCUCCGUGGCCCUCGGCAACUGUAACAAGAGCAGCGCUACCUCCUCUCCUCCAUCUUCUCCUCCGCCGGUGCCGACGGCCCUCAGCAACGGUAACGAGGGCGGCGCUGCUUCCUCUGCCUUCGCCUCAGCCUUCGCCGGUGUCGAAGAAGGAAAAGAAGAACUCGGAGUGAGCCAGAGUAAGGGCGGAGCGGACGGAAGCGAUGACGUCGUUUCUGUGUUACGGGGCUCCGAUGCGGCGCACGGGGUAAAGAGGCCGUAUUGGUGAGGAUGGGGGUCGGAGGGGGAAGAAGGGGUCAAGGAAAGAGGAAGAGGAGGAAGAAGAAGAAGAAAAAGAGACAAUAAAGGUCGGAGAAUAGUGUAAUUUUCUCUGAAAUUGUGUAAUUUUUGUCGAAAGAAUGCAACUUUUAUUUCAAAGAGUGUAAUUUUCAUCUCAAGCAGUAUAACAUUCAUAUUAAAUAGUGCAAUUUUUUUAUAAAACUGUAAUAUACUGAACUUUAGCAAAUUGCGAAGUUCGAGUAUUAGAAUAGUAAUUGGAAAUAUUCUAGAUCUUGUGAGGGGUUGUCAAGAGGUUUUCGGCAUGUUACUUGAGUGAUUAAGUGGCCGAAAAGCGAAAGUGCAUUGGAAUUUCAAGAUUCUGUUUUUUGUAUUGAGUACCGGUACCCCAAGGCCCGAGUACCGAUACCCAAUGCAGCAGAAUGUGGAUAAGGGUCUUUUUGGUAAUUUCGCUUUGAUGGUUAUCCAUUUAACCCCUAGCUCAACUCCCCCAGCUGGUUCUUAUCAUGUUUAAGUUGUGGAGGCACGGUAAGGCCCCUGGUUUCUCUCUCUAUGGUUUUAUUCCAUUUUUGAUGGAAUUUUAUGGAUUUGAGCUUUUUCUCUUCUCUCCUUCUUAUGUUUGCUGGUUGGGAGCUUCUUGGUGGUGCUGUUCAGUAGAGAAGAAGGUUUUGCUGAGGAUUAUUCUCCAAACAAGCCAGGGCUUGUUUCUUUGCUUCUUUGCUGCUAGCUGGUUUGGGGAGGCUUGUAGCAGCUGUAGAAGAAGUGUUUUGGCUAUGGUUUUUUGAUCCUAAUUCAGUAGGAGCUUUGAAAGGUGAGCUAACUACUAUUUGCACUAGUUUGAUGUGGUAGUAGAUGUUUUGGUGUAGUUCUUUGUGUUAGCUCGCAGCAGGUUGUGUGAACCCUGUUGUCUGAGUUUUGAUGACUCAUGUGGGUUGGAUUUAGUGUGCUCCAACCUGAAUUGAAGUGGAGGUUUAAUCUUGGCUCUAUCCUAGGGUAUUUGGAGGCUAGCGAACAUCUUCGCUCGUGAGAUCGACAAGAGUCGACAGCGAUUUGAGCCUUCCAUAGCGGGAAAGACUAGGGUUCGUGGCAAGGGAUCGGCAACUAGCUAGAGCUCCUCGAUGUUAAAUAAAUGAACCACACAAGCUUAUUCUAGUUUAGUUCAGAGAUGUAUUUUGGGACUAUUCAGGAUGUACUUUAUAUUUUAUGUUUUAAAUUGUAAUUGGUAUUGUUUUAGUUUAAACUUAUAAACUUUUAGUUUUGCUC